rnacentral:tRNA from 2 species
GCGCUUGUAGCUCAGUGGAUAGAGCGCGGUCUUGCGGAGGCUGAGGUCGAGGGUUCGAAUCCCUCCAAGCGCG